rnacentral:lncRNA from 1 species
ACUAGCGAUCGAGAUUUUUACAUUGAUGAAACGGCUAGGGUGAUAGGAAAGUUCUCCCCAGUUGAUCACUGGGAGAACAAAAGUAGUGAGAAUGGAGCAACAACAGUCAUUUGCAGCAGUUCAUUCGUGCAGUCUUUAUUUUUUUCAACUUGAAGAAACUUCCUGUUGUUGUAUUAUUUUAUCCACUUCUAACAUUUGUUUAGAAAAUCUUGCAUUAGUCCCAGAAAUAAUUUGUUGAUGACAGAGUUUGCUUCAAAUCAGCAGAGUUUCCAAUUCAUCAGCUAGAAGAAAAUAAGAAAAAACUGAAGCAGCUCAAUCUUUUGGGACAGUAGGAAAAGUUAAAAUGGUCCUCCUCUGUAAGAUAAUUUUAGUGUAUUUUCUUGUAGACAGAUAGAAAAGUGGAAAUUGAAAAAACCAGUAGUCUUUUUCAUGUGUCAUAGUUUCUCGGGAGGUACAUUGGAGUGUUCUUCGGUUAAUAAUAUUCGAGCAGCGUCAAUCAACCUUCGAGUGAACUCAAGUUUUUGUUUUUAUCUGUAAUGUGCCACUUGCUACUUCAGUGAGCAAGAUCAUUCGAAUGUCUAGCAUUUUUGCAGUUCAUUUAAGUUGUUAAUCUUACGCUAUUGUAGCGACGCGAAGUUUAAUUUCCCAUCCGAUUCGCAAUUAUUUGAGUUACUCAAUCUUUCACAACGAUCUGCAGAACUUCUACCCAUGAAAAGUUUUGAGGUUAUGUGUCCCAAGAUGUCCACUGUCAGAAAAUUUGUCAAAAUGAACGGAUGCGUAUAGUAUGGAUUCUCCCCCGUCAUGCUCUGUGACAUUAUCAGAGAUUUUGGUGCUGAGUGAAGAUAGCGGACUUCUCUUGACAAGUGAUCACAGUGGCUCUCUCGAUGUUGUGUCAUCGUGCAGUGAUCAAAGCUCUCAUUGUUAUUACACAAUGGAGUGCCCAGAGAGCGAGGAUGAGGAGGAAACCGAUGAAAGCGGUUUGAUUCAUGACAACCUUUGCAAUGAAAAUUGUAAUACUGUCAAGAGGUAUCCAAAAAAGGUUCCAGAGAUGGAGAAACAACUCAUCCCGACCAUUGAUCCUCCACUCGAAUUCCAAGACAAGCCUCCUUCGUCCAGUCAUGAUCUUUCAGUGGAGCUCAUCCAAAAAGUUGCAGAAGAAAUCACUGACUCUAUUAUUAGUGAGUGUAUGAGGCUUUUCAUUUCUGAACACUUGAAACCAGAUGAAGAUCCUCCCAGCCUGAACAAAAUGGAUGCUAAAACAAGCCAAAAAAGGAUGUUUUGGACGUCGGAACUAAUUUACUCAACAAGCUCUCGUAGUUCGCUCUCUUCUUCUCGGCUCUCUAGUUCCCACAACUCACUCUCAGUCACUGCAGCCAACAAAGUUGAUGACUCAAGUUUUAUUACAUCAGCAAUGUCACAUGAUAUCUUAAGCAUUACUGAUAUGUACAAUGUACCGUUAGAUAGUGAUAUUUAUGCUAUCCCAGCGGACUCACUGCGAGGGAAGGACAAGAAAAAAGUUCCACAUAAGCUCUAUAGAUACAAUACAUCUAAGAAGAAGGACCCCCUCUCGUCCAUUGAGAGUAAUGUAUCCUCGUCCUUUUGUAAUUACAAUCCAAACCGGAAACAGAAACGCAAUUCUACUCCUAGUCGAUCCAUGUCCACCCCAGCUUCUGGUGAACCUAUUCAAAUGACCCUUCAGCAAGUGCGACAGUUUUUACACAAUCUGUACUCAAGUUCAAGUAGUGAAACUUUAUCCAAAACAAAGCAAGCUGUUUACAAAAGUUACAACUUGAAUGUAAACGAUGGCCGGGGUCAAAUUUUGAAGACCAAUGGCAGUAGAAGGAUUGUAAAGUGUAAAAAGAGUAAAAAUUUAAGUAAAAAAACCAAAGAUUCUUGUGAUAAUAAAAAUUUAUCAUUUAAUUCAAAUGUAAAUAAAUAA